UACAGAGGUCUCAACCGUUGUUCGGAUUCAUUGGGCGUAAAGGGUGCGUAGGCGGUCGUGCAAGUCGGAUGUGAAAUCUCAGGGCUCAACCCUGAAACUGCAUUCGAUACUGCGUGGCUAGAGUGCUGGAGAGGAGACUGGAAUUUACAGUGUAGCAGUGAAAUGCGUAGAUAUCGUAAGGAAGACCAGUGGCGAAGGCGAGUCUCUGGACAGCAACUGACGCUGAGGCACGAAGGCCAGGGGAGCAAACGGG
rnacentral:rRNA from 1 species